rnacentral:rRNA from 1 species
GACGAACGCUGGCGGCGUGCUUAACACAUGCAAGUCGAACGGAAAGGCCCUGCUUUUGUGGGGUGCUCGAGUGGCGAACGGGUGAGUAACACGUGAGUAACCUGCCCUUGACUUUGGGAUAACUUCAGGAAACUGGGGCUAAUACCGGAUAGGAGCUCCUGCUGCAUGGUGGGGGUUGGAAAGUUUCGGCGGUUGGGGAUGGACUCGCGGCUUAUCAGCUUGUUGGUGGGGUAGUGGCUUACCAAGGCUUUGACGGGUAGCCGGCCUGAGAGGGUGACCGGCCACAGUGGGACUGAGAUACGGCGCAGACUCCUACGGGAGGCAGCAGUGGGGAAUAGUGCACAAUGGGCGGAAGCCUGAUGCAGCAACGCCGCGUGCGGGAUGACGGCCUUCGGGUUGUAAACCGCUUUCGCCUGUGACGAAGCGUGAGUGACGGUAAUGGGUAAAGAAGCACCGGCUAACUACG